GGACACUCAACCCUGUUGGGUGUUCAACGUAGGACCGUGCACGUUUAACUGACAUCGGAGUGAUCGGACCGAGUGAACCAAGCGGCUGUUGUCUUCAUACGGACCUCGGGAAUCUGAUCACAGAGCGCGCUCAACUGAAACAAAAGGUAAGCAGUACCUAUUUAACUAAACUCUGCAUAUUGUAUUAUAGACAAAUCUAAAUUAUGUGAUCAGAAAGUACCGGGUGUAAGUAUGAAUACGUAGAAUAAAUUGUUUUAUGUUAAAAGUAAAGAACCGAAUAAAUAACCUGCAGAGUUGGUGGUUCCGUUAAAAUGUUCAUGUCAUAGUGAGUACGUAUUUGAUCAAUUGCAAAUAGUACUCGUUUUUAUUUUUUCCGUAACGGUACGGCAGUGUUUGUCUGCAGAAGGAAAAACUGCAGGCAAUUCUCUACGGGGACCGAUACGGGUUACGGGUUUUUAAUUUGAUAAAUUGUAAAUAGUACGGGUUUUUAUUUUGUUUCGUAACGGUGCGGCAACGUUUGUCUGCAGAAGGAAAAACUGCACUCAUGGCCAUGAGAUCGUCAAAAGGGGGAGGCACACACCUCUCACCACACGAACUCCUGACCGGAAGGGUUAUGCCAGGACCACCCAGGGAUGGAGGUCAUAUGCCAUCCUUGGAUGUCAGUCAGAUAGAGAAGUCUGACUAUAUGCGCGAAUUAACAGCACUUGUCUCAGCCCUCUCUACCCAGGUGGCGAAAGUUCUCGAGAAAACGCCAGCGGAAGGAGAGGAACAGACAGUAAAAGUAGGUGACUGGGUCAGGGUCAAGGUUCACAAGCGCAAGUGGACAGACCCCAGGUGGACUGGACCGUACGAAGUGAAGGAAGUUACCUCACACUCGGUUCAGGUUAGGGGCAAAUCAGGCGCCCCCUGGCAUCACUUGACACACUGUGCCCCAGCCACUGCACCGACACGUACCUUAGCAGAAGUACGAACAGAUUUGGAAAAUGCCGCCGCCAAGGGCGAUGUUUAGAUGCUUUGGAGACCCCGACUACCCCCAUAACGACCUCCCGUUCCACGACAGGACGCUCAAACAGUUGGGCUUUGGCAAAAAGACGAUAGUGGGAAUGAUAAUAGUCUCCAUAAUAGGAAUUGGUCUCCUAAUAUGGGCCUUUGAAGAACCUAAAAAUACGUAGCAAGACCUAAAAGCAUCCACACCCCGGACUAUGACUAUGAGACCAUCGCACCCAGUGAAAACUGGACGAGCAUGCUAGACCCCAACUGACCACUAGUCCAGCCCCUUUGCUCCCCUCAAUUGACCCCCACGGCUACGCUUGCAUGAUAAGACUGUUUAAGAACAUAACUACUAAAAAAUUGCACAACGCAUAAAGACGUAGGUACUUUCCCUCUCCUCCCUACUGACCCGGGGCAUGACUCCCUGUUGCCCCCUGAACCGGAUGCCGACAGCAUCCCUGACGACAUGAAUGGUGAUGCAGGAACUGACUGGAUCACGGCCUGCCACUGAGGAUCCUAAAGGGGGACGACCUCACCUACAUCGCACACACACACAACGCAUCAACAUGACUUGUUAAAGCACACACUGCAGGUAGCUCACGCAAGUUUACAACACAUAUGGCUAAAAUAGAAUAGUCACACCUAUCAGGUGUGAAAAGGGGGAUUUGUGGGAAAAAAUAAAUACAUUACACUGUUGGCAAAUAACUUGAGACACAUAGGCUUGUAUUACUUUAUUGUUUUAACUUUUGACGCAUGCGCAGUAAGGCCCCCUGAGGACAGUGACCAUAGAGUGGGAAGAACACAGAGGAAGCUCAGCCACAGUAGAAAGCUACAAGAAAAGAACGGAGGGUGCCCGAGGGCAAGGACUCAAGGUUAGUUGAGAAGCACCCACUGAUAACAGGGAGCGAGAAGACAGACAGUGGCUUACUGAUGCUCGUACACAUAGAACAACUCCUAUGCUGAGAGAACAGUUACAGCUAGUUCUCAGGAGCUGCAGCUGUGUUUAUCAAGGCCACCUCAUCCCGCCGACAACGCCAUGCCCCCACCCUUGCACCCCGACAAAAUGCACACACACUGAUGGAUGAAGACCACCACAACCAAUGGACGUGAGCCAGUGUGAGUGGAAAGUACUCAGUGCUCCUACCGGACAGGCUUGGUAUAAACCUUGCCCCGUCUGCAUCAGUUUUGACUUUUAAUCUAAUGGGACCUGAUAAGAGGAAUCCUAUAUGCAGCGUCUGCGCACUCUGUUUAAGCGCCUUUUUCCUUGGACACUCAACCCUGUUGGGUGUUCAACGUAGGACCGUGCACGUUUAACUGUACGGGAGCAUUAACUCUGUUUUUCAUUACUGAAUAAAUAUUGAGAACUAACUUUA